rnacentral:piRNA from 1 species
UUUGCAGGACCUCUACUGGCCCAGG